GACGAACGCUGGCGGCGUGCCUAAUACAUGAAAGUAGAACGCAGUUGCGAACGGGUGAGUAACGCGUAGGUAACUGCCUCAUAGCGGGGGAUAGCUAUUGGAAACGCUGGCUAAUCCGGCAUACUGUGAGAUUGACCUGCGUUGUAUUAGCUAGUUGGUGAGGUAAAGGCUCACCAAGGCGAUGAUACAUAGCCGACCUGAGAGGGUGAUCGGCCCCACUGCGACUGAGAGAAGGCCCAGAGUCCUACGGGAGGCAGCAGUAGGGAACCUGGGGCAAUGGACGGACGUCUGACCGAGCAACGGCGCGUGAGUGACGAAGGUUUUCGGAUCGUAAAGCUCUGUUGUUAGAGAAGCGGUACCUAACCAGACAGGGACGGCUAACUACGUGCCAGCCGCCGCGGUAAUUC
rnacentral:rRNA from 1 species